GAUGAACGCUGGCGGCGUGCCUAAUACAUGCAAGUCGAGCGAAUGGAUUAAGAGCUUGCUCUUAUGAAGUUAGCGGCGGACGGGUGAGUAACACGUGGGUAACCUGCCCAUAAGACUGGGAUAACUCCGGGAAACCGGGGCUAAUACCGGAUAACAUUUUGAACCGCAUGGUUCGAAAUUGAAAGGCGGCUUCGGCUGUCACUUAUGGAUGGACCCGCGUCGCAUUAGCUAGUUGGUGAGGUAACGGAACACCAAGGCAACGAUGCGUAGCCGACCUGAGAGGGGGAUCGGCCACACUGGGACUGAGACACGGCCCAGACUCCGACGGGAGGCAGCAGUAGGGAAUCUUCCGCAAUGGACGAAAGUCUGACGGAGCAACGCCGCGUGAGUGAUGAAGGCUUUCGGGUCGUAAAACUCUGUUGUUAGGGAAGAACAAGUGCUAGUUGAAUAAGCUGGCACCUUGACGGUACCUAACCAGAAAGCCACGGCUAACUACGUGCCAGCAGCCGCCGUAA
rnacentral:rRNA from 1 species